rnacentral:rRNA from 1 species
AAACAAGCUAUAAAGAGCACACAGUGGAUGCCUUGGUGCUAUCAGGCGAUGAAGGACGUGAUAAGCUGCGAUAAGCUUCGGUGAGCGGCAAAUACGCUUUGACCCGGAGAUUUCCGAAUGGGGUAACCUAAUGCAGGUAAUGCUGCAUUGUUGCUUCCUGAAUAAAAUAAGGAAGUAAACGCGAUACCCGCUGAAGUGAAACAUCUCAGUAAGCGGAGGAAUAGAAAGAGAAAUCGAUUCCGUAAGUAGCGGCGAGCGAAAGCGGAACAGCCCAAACCGGUGACUUAGGUUACCGGGGUUGUAGGGCCUCAAUAUGGUAUCUCAACGGUUAGGUGAAGCGCGUGGAAAAGCGUUCCCAAGAGGGUGACAGGCCCGUAACCGAAAACCAGAGAGAGCCUAGAGUGUCCCUGAGUAAUACGGCACACGUGAAACGCCGUAUGAAUCUGUGCCGACCACGGCAUAAGGCUAAAUACUAGAUAGCGACCGAUAGUGAACAAGUACUGUGAAGGAAAGGUGAAAAGUACCCCUGCGAGGGGAGUGAAAUAGAUCCUGAAACCGUGUGCUUACAAGGUGUGAGAGCAGGCUUGUCCUGUGAUCGCGUGCCUUUUGCCUAAUGAGUCUGCGAGUUAGUAUCAGUGGCAAGCUUAAGUCCUUUUGGGACGUAGGCGUAGCGAAAGCGAGUCCGAAUAGGGCAAACAUAGUCGCUGGUGUUAGACCCGAAGCGGAGGUGAUCUACCCUUGACCAGGUUGAAGCUUGAGUAAAAUCAAGUGGAGGACCGAACCGGUGUCUGUUGAAAAAGGCUCGGAUGAGUUGAGGGUAGGAGUGAAAGGCUAAUCAAACCCCGUGAUAGCUGGUUCUCCUCGAAAUGUAUUUAGGUACAGCGUCACGUGUUGACCCAUGGGGGUAGAGCACUGAAUGAGCUAGGGGGCAUACCCGCUUACCAAACUCAAUCAAACUCCGAAUACCAUGGGGUAGAGCGUGGCAGUGAGACAGUGGGGGAUAAGCUUCAUUGUCGAAAGGGAAAGAACCCAGAUCAGCAGCUAAGGUGCCUAAAUACCGCUCAGUGGAAAGGAAGUGAGAUUUCAUAGACAGUGAGGAUGUUGGCUUAGAGGCAGCCACCAUUUAAACAAUGCGUAAUAGCUGACUCAUCGAGAGAUCUUGCGCCGAAAAUAAUUGGCGAUAAGCGGUAUACCGAAGCUCUGGAUGUUAUGUUUCUUCGGAUUCAUAGCGUGGUAGAGGAGCAUUGUUAGAACAUUGAAGUGCGAUGGCGACUGACCAUGGAGCUCUAACAAGUGAGAAUGCAGACAUGAGUAACGAUAAGACGGGUGAAAUCCCCGUCCGCCGUAAACCCGAGGGUUCCUGGGCAAUGCUAAUCAUCCCAGGGUUAGUCGGGACCUAAGCCGAGGCCGAAGGGCGUAGGCGAUGGAAAGCAGGUUAAUAUUCCUGCACGUCCGAAACUUAACCCAGAAGGACGCAUUCCUAGAGAGAUAAUACCGACUGAUAGUGGUAGAGGGGAAACUUCGGUGGAACCUACCUUCUCGACGGGAGUGCCAAGAAAAGUUCUGGUGCAUGCUAAGGACCCCGUACCGUAAACCGACACAGGUGGGUGAGUAGAAUAUACUAAGGCGUAAGAGUGAAACCUCGUUAAGGAACUCGGCAAUCUAGCCCCGUAACUUAGGGAUAAGGGGUCCCUGCUUCGGCAGGGCGCAGUGAAAGGGGCCAACCGACUGUUUAGCAAAAACACAGCAUUCUGCUAAGACGAAAGUCGACGUAUAGGAUGUGACACGUGACCAAUGCCAAAAGAUUAAGGUAAGGUGUUAGCCCUCGGGCGAAGCUCUGAACCCAAGUCCUGGUGAAUGUCGGCCGUAACUAUAACGGUCCUAAGGUAGCGAAAUUCCUUGUCGGGUAAGUUCCGACCUGCACGAAUCGUGCAACGAGUUGGCCGCUGUCUCAACGAGGAGCUCAGUGAAGUUGUAGUGCCGGUGAAGAUGCCGGCUACCCGCAGAAGGACGGAAAGACCCUUUGCACCUUAACUGUACGCAGUCACUGGUGUUCUGGUUCUGAUGCUCAGAGUAAGUGGGAGACGUUGAAGCUUGUCUUUAGGGGCAGGUGGAGUCGCCAAUGAGACACCACCCUUUGGUAUUGGGACAUCUAACCGCAGGCCUUGAAACAGGAUGCGGGACCAUGGCUGCCGGUCAGUUUUACUGGGGCGGUAUCCUCCUAAAGAGUAACGGAGGAGCGCGAAGUUUGGCUCAGCACGGUUGGCAAUCGUGUUUCGAGUGCAUAGGCAUAAGCCAGACUAACUGUGAGACCUACAAGUCGAGCAGAUACGAAAGUAGGCCUAAGUGAUCCGGUAGUAGAAAGUGGAAUCGCUAUCGCUCAACGGAUAAAAGGUACGCUAGGGAUAACAGGCUGAUCGCGCCCAAGAGUUCAUAUCGACGGCGCGGUUUGGCACCUCGAUGUCGGCUCGUCACAUCCUGGGGCUGGAGAAGGUCCCAAGGGUUCGGCUGUUCGCCGAUUAAAGUGGCACGCGAGCUGGGUUCAGAACGUCGCGAGACAGUUCGGUCCUCUAUCCUCUGCGGGCGUAGGAAAAUUGAGGGGUUCAAACUCUAGUACGAGAGGACCGAGUUUGACGCACCACUGGUGUUCCAGUUGUUCCGUCAGGGGCAUUGCUGGGCAGCUAAGUGCGGCACGGAUAAGCGCUGAAAGCAUCUAAGCGUCAAGCCAUUCCCAAGAUUAGUUUUCCCUGAAGGACCGUGGGAGACCACCACGUUGAUAGGCUAUGGGUGUAAGUGCAGUAAUGUAUUCAGCUUAGUAGUACUAAUCGUCCGUUCGGCUUGUUUAC